CCAACCAAUCCAAAACACAUGCAAAACUAAAAUCAUCCAAGCGAAAAACCUAGAUCCCUGAGGAAUCGCCACACUGACUUCCACAAUGGUUGAACUAGUUUACAGUCCCACCAACAGUGUAAAAGUGUUCCUAUUUCUCCACAUCCUCUCCAGCACCUGUUGUUUCCUGACUUUUUAAUGAUCACCAUUCUAACCGGUGUGAGAUGGUAUCUCAUUGUGGUUUUGAUUUGCAUUUCUCUGAUGGCCAGUGAUGGUGAGCAUUUUUUCAUGUGUUUUUUGGCUGCAUAAAUGUCUUCUUUUGAGAAGUGUCUGUUCAUGUCCUUCACCCACUUUUUGAUGGGGUUGUUUGUUUUUUUCUUGUAAAUUUGUUUGAGUUCAUUGUAGAUUCUGGAUAUUAGCCCUUUGUCAGAUGAGUAGGUUGCAAAAAUUUUCUCCCAUUUUGUAGGUUGCCUGUUCACUCUGAUAGUAGUUUCUUUUGCUGUGCAGAAGCUCUUUAGUUUAAUUAGAUCCCAUUUGUCAAUUUUGUCUUUUGUUGCUAUUGCUUUUGGUGUUUUAGACAUGAAGUCCUUGCCCAUGCCUAUGUCCUGAAUGGUAAUGCCUAGGUUUUCUUCUAGGGUUUUUAUGGUUUUAGGUCUAACAUUUAAGUAUUUAAUCCAUCUUGAAUUGAUUUUUGUAUAAGGUGUAAGGAAGGGAUCCAGUUUCAGCUUUCUACAUAUGGCUAGCCAGUUUUCCCAGCACCAUUUAUUAAAUAGGGAAUCCUUUCCCCAUUGCUUGUUUUUCUCAGGUUUGUCAAAGAUCAGAUAGUUGUAGAUAUGCGGCGUUAUUUCUGAGGGCUCUGUUCUGUUCCAUUGAUCUAUAUCUCUGUUUUGGUACCAGUACCAUGCUGUUUUGGUUACUGUAGCCUUGUAAUAUAGUUUGAAGUCAGGUAGUGUGAUGCCUCCAG
rnacentral:lncRNA from 10 species